rnacentral:rRNA from 1 species
AUUGAACGCUGGCGGCAGGCCUAACACAUGCAAGUCGAGCGAGCGGCGGACGGGUGAGUAAUGUCUGGGAAACUGCCUGAUGGAGGGGGAUAACUACUGGAAACGGUAGCUAAUACCGCAUACCAUCAGAUGGGCCCAGAUGGGAUUAGUUAGUUGGUGGGGUAACGGCUCACCAGGGCGACGCUCCCUAGCUGGUCUGAGAGGAUGACCAGCCACACUGGAACUGAGACACGGUCCAGACUCCUACGGGAGGCAGCAGUGGGGAAUAUUGGACAAUGGGCGAAAGCCUGAUCCAGCCAUGCCGCGUGUGUGAAGAAGGUCUUCGGGUUGUAAAGCACUUUCAGCGGGGAGGCGUUACUCACAGAAGAAGCACCGGCUAACUCCGUGCCAGCAGCCGCGGUAAUUC